rnacentral:tmRNA from 1 species
GGGGGUGACAUGGUUUCGACGUGGGUUGCAAAACCUAAGGGGCAUGCCGAGGCGCAGAUUGACCUCGUAAAUCCAACUGCAAAAAAAGAUAGUCGCCAACGACAAUCAAUACGCACUAGCCGCUUGAUCGGCUAGCCUCUGACUGAGUUCGUGCUUGUGCGCUCAGCGUCUGUUUGUAGUUUAGGCAGACAUUCAGGGGUCAAUUCUCACAAGAUCGCGGAGAUAUGCGUCUGGGGUUGAUCCGUUAAAGCUUUAACAGACUCGCUGCUCGUUGUCCCGCCUAUCGGAUGAUUGGUGGCUAAAUACAAUGGUAGGACUAAGCAUGUAGAACCAAGGGCGGAGGACUUGCGGACGCGGGUUCGAUUCCCGCCGCCUCCACCA